GUAUCUUCUAGUCCUGUGCACCCUGUCUGGGCCUCUGGCGCUCUCCUCUGCAACAGAAGUACAAACUGUUGCCUAAGGAUACAGGGUGUGUGGCUGGUGGCCUCAACAGGCCCCACGGCUCAGGCACUCAGACCCAAGCUGGUCCCUCAGCCCAUAUUACUAAAUGCCUGACUUCAGAAAAAAAACGUAAACAAAAGACAGAGAUUGGAAGCAUCAGAAUUUUAUUCCAGUGACUCAAUCCCCAUUGUGUGAAGUAGACCAGAAUGAAUAAAUUGAACUUACUCAGCACCUCAAUUAUUAAAUGUAUCCACAGAAAUUCAUUCUGUCAAGUUAACUGUGGAGGUUGUUGUUGCUAUUGCAGACUAAAUGGUUUUCCUGGGAACUCUGACUCUGGCCACAAGAUCAAGACUGACAAAUUUCCUUUCUCUGUUUAUGGAGGGAGACUUCACAACAUUCACUGAAAGAGGAGCAAAGGACCUGGUUUUUGCCAUGACUGGCUUUGGCCCCGUGAAUGAAUGUUUUUCUGGCAUUGGAAAGCGGAUAGCAAAGAGAGCAGAACCACAAAUGGGCUAUGAGGAAAUGUGUUCAAUGAAGAAAACAAAAUCUCUGACAAGAUCCAACAUAGGACAACAUCUCAGCAUCUUCUGUGAUUUGUGAACCCAAGUAAAGCACUUCUUAGAGUUAUCUGGCACAUUCGCAACUAAUAGCUUUCUGUGAAUAAAUACUGUGGCAACC
rnacentral:lncRNA from 1 species